CCUACGGGAGGCAGCAGUGGGGAAUAUUGGACAAUGGGGGAAACCCUGAUCCAGCGACGCCGCGUGAAGGAAGAAGUAUUUCGGUAUGUAAACUUCUAUCAGCAGGGAAGAAAAUGACGGUACCUGACUAAGAAUCAGCGGCUAACUACGUGCAAGCAGCCGCGGCAAUACGUAGGGGGCAAGCGUUAUCCGGAUUUACUGGGUGUAAAGGGGGCGUAGGCGGUUUAGCAAGUCAGAAGUGAAAGCCCGGGGCUCAACCCCGGGACUGCUUUUGAAACUGUUGAACUAGAUUGCAGGAGAGGUAAGUGGAAUUCCUGGUGUAGCGGUGAAAUGCGUAGAUAUUAGGAGGAACACCAGUGGCGAAGGCGGCUUGCUGGACUGUAACUGACGUUGAGGCUCGAAAGCGUGGGGAGCAAACAGGAUUAGAUACCCUGGUAGUC
rnacentral:rRNA from 1 species